GGGGAUUUAGCUCAGUGGUAGAGCGCUUGCCUUGCAAGCACAAAGCCCUGGGUUCGGUCCUCAGCUCCG
rfam:Rattus norvegicus chromosome 3, whole genome shotgun sequence.